rnacentral:rRNA from 1 species
AGGACGAACGCUGGCGGCGUGCCUAACACAUGCAAGUCGAACGGGACCAGGGGCAACUCUGGUUCAGUGGCGGACGGGUGCGUAACACGUGAGGAACAUGACCUUCGGCGGGGGGAUAGCCGGCCCAACGGCCGGGUAAUACCGCGUACGACCACAUGGGGACAUCCCUGAGUGGUGAAAGCAGCAAUGCGCCGAUGGAGUGCCUCGCGGCCUAUCAGCUAGUUGGUGAGGUAACGGCUCACCAAGGCAACGACGGGUAGCUGGUCUGAGAGGAUGGCCAGCCACAUUGGGACUGAGACACGGCCCAGACUCCUACGGGAGCAGCAGUUAGAAUUUGCGCAAUGGAGGAACU